rnacentral:ncRNA from 1 species
ACUGUAUAAUUAAAACAAAGCAUUCUGAAGGUCUACAAUGGUGCUCUGAAUGUCAAAGGGAAGUAAUUCAAUGAAGUGCGCGGGUAAACAACAGGAGUAACUAUGACUCUGUUAAGAUAGCCAAAUGCCUUGUCAUCUAAUUACUGACACACACGAAUGGAUGAA